GGUGAAAGUCAAAGGACUACUGGAGAUCAAAGGCAAGCUUGUAUAUCUUAGGAAAUAUAAAAAAUAUAUAUGUAUAUGAACAGACAGAAAACAUAGUAGCCUAUAUGUUGGGGAAAACUGGAAAAGUAAAACCACAAAAAAAAAAAAAAAAAAAAAAAAUCACAGAGAACUACUUUACAGUCCCGGAAGAGAAAAUGAAAUAGAGACAAGAACAUGAUGACAGUGCUGAAAAUCUGAACGAAACCGAAAGAUUUUUGUGUUCGAACAUAGAGAGGAGAGCUGUUCGGAACUAAACAUGGAGCAGAAAACUGAUACUAGUCUCCCAGUUGACCUGCAGCACACCGAUGUGACAGACAAACACAGAGAUGAACGUCUUAGGAUUACUGGAAAUAAAUAUUUCAUCCUUUUUCCUGGGAAGACAUCUAAGACUCGAGAGAACAUCAUAAGAAAUGUCCUUCAAAAAAUACCAGAUCUAAAGGAGGUGCCCACUGUAGCGGAGUGUGAUUUCAUUUUGGUUUUAUGCAUUAUUGUUUCAAGGGCAGGAACUGACAUUGAUGCUGCAGUGAAUGAACUUAAUGCCCUUUCAGAGUCUAAAAAAGCUAUCUUCAUAGUACUUCAUCACACAUUUGACCCAGAGAAGACAGUACCAGACAGCAGCAGGCAUGUGACCAGGACGGACACACUCACAGUGGACUGUCUGUUCUACGAGGAUCAAUUAUUGGCCUGUGAUAGGAAUCAAGAAGCUCUGAACAGAAUUGAACAAUCGUUUUCAUCAAAGGUUAAAGGAGCACAGAAAGAAAUGUCUAAAGCAGAUUUCAGUGGGAAGGAUCUUCCGAAGACGAAGAAUCAGAAAAAAAAUUUUUGUAGCUAUUUGUAGGAAAGCAGCCAUUGGUGUUGUUUUAUUUCCUUUGGUUUUUAUAUUUUAUUCUAUAAUCAUUUAUAAUCAUUAGUUAUUUACGUAGUUGCCAUUCAUUUGUAUUAUUAUUAUUAUUUGAUUUACAUCAUUCUUCAAUUCAUAUUAUUCAUUUACAUCAUUUAUCAUUUUAUUAUUAUUAUUCAUGUCAUUUAUGCUUUUAUAUUAUUUUAUAUAUUUCCUUGCUCUUGCAAUGCUUGCUAUUGUUGUUUAAUUCUUUUAUUGUAUGGUUUUAAGGAAUGUUUGUCUUCAUGGGUAGGAGAUAAGAGAAUGUCUCCAUUUCAAGGUUUUUAAGGUCAUAUGAUGAUGUUGUGAAGCUGUAAUUUUCCAUUGUUUUUCCCUUGGUAUAAUAACACUGGUUGGAUCACUUAAUCUCCUGCUUCUGCUCUUUCCUGGCUUUCUCAGUCAAGCUCUCAGGCUGAUAGAAGACUUUAAUCUUCUGGCAGUGAUUCAGCGUCUGGGGUCGAAUCUAAUAUAUCUGAUGUUUCUGACAUUAAUAUCUUCAUGCCUUAUAGUCACAUUUAGCAGAUUAGAGCUCAACAGUUAUAUAAUAUGUACCGCUUAACGUGAGUGUACUGUAUGUACUGUAUCUAGUAAGUUUGGGUAUAGGCCUGCUUAUAGUAGUUAUGUAUCAUUUAUUGAUUGGUUAAUUAAUUGGUGAUUUUGAGAAUUAUAAGUCCUGUGAGGUUUUGUCCUAUUUAUAACAAUCUGGUGUAAUGACAAGAAUACAGUAAUUAAUUACCAUUUGGUGAUGAAUAUCAUGCCAUAAUUAAAUGAUGUUUAACUGAUUAAAUGAUGUUCCACAGUUUACCUGAGGAGAUAAUUGAAAGUCAUGGCAUAAUACUUAUUAAUGGAUAAUGGCGGCGGGUUUUUUUUUUACUGGUUGCUUAUUAGCUUGCAUAUUGUCUGCUUAUUAGUACUUAUAAAGCACAUAUUUAUGCCUUAUUCUGCAUGAUGAUAUUCUGCAUCCCUAAAUCCAAAUGCUACAACAACUACUAACUGUUAAUAAGCAGUAAGAUUUUAUUGAGGCAAAAGUCGUAGUUAAUAGUGUAUAUGUGUUCCCCAUACCAAAGUGUUACCAAUAUUUUACUACAUUGAUUAACCUGUAAGAUGUAUGCAGUGAAAUGAAAUCAAUAAGUAUGAUGUUAAAAAUGU